CUUGGACAGCUGCUCUUUCUCUCGACUCUGGAAUGUAAAUCACACUGGAUAAUGUCAAAACGCAAGUACAAAUUGAACCUAACAGCACAAUUAAAUUACCCCGUGCAAGACUGAAAAGAGGACAUAAUGCAUUGCUCUUCACAGAUGACUGCAGAUUUGAUCUUGAUCAAGGAGGAUCACACACUGCAGAUGUUGAGACCAUGUCUACAUCUGGCCACUUGAAGCUUACACAGCAAUCUGAUCCAGAUCACACGGCUGAUCAGGUGAGCUC